rfam:Picea glauca, whole genome shotgun sequence.
ACAUGUGUACAACAUAGUGUUAAUGCAUCAGAUCCCAUUAGAACUUUGUAGCUAAGUGCACUCAAGCUAGAGUAGUACUGGGAUGGGUGACCACCUGGGAAUUCCUAGUGUUUUGCAUGCC